AGAACGAACGCUGGCGGCAUGCCUAAUACAUGCAAGUCGAACGAACUCUUCGGAGUUAGUGGCGCACGGGUGCGUAACGCGUGGGAAUCUGCCCCUUGGUUCGGAAUAACAGUUGGAAACGACUGCUAAUACCGGAUGAUGACGAAAGUCCAAAGAUUUAUCGCCAAGGGAUGAGUCCCGCGUAGGAUUAGCUAGUUGGUGAGGUAAAGGCUCACCAAGGCAACGAUCCUUAGCUGGUCUGAGAGGAUGAUCAGCCACACUGGGACUGAGACGCGGCCCAGACCUCCGUACGGGAGCAGCGAGUAGGGAAUAGUUGGACAAGUGGGACGAAAGCCUGAUCCAGCAAUCGCCGCGUGAGUGAUAGGAAGGUCCGUUAGGUUAGUAAGCUUACUUUUACCGAGUAUAGAAUAGUGACAGUAGUACGGAA
rnacentral:rRNA from 1 species